ACAUGCCUACAACAUAGUGUUAAUGCACUAGAUCCCAUUAGAACUCUGCAGUUAAGUGCGCUCAGGCUAGAGCAGUAUUGGGAUGGGUGACCUCCUGGGAAGUCCUAGUAUUUUACAUGCC
rnacentral:rRNA from 1 species